rnacentral:rRNA from 1 species
UAUGGCGAACUUAAACAUGCAAGUCGAACGGCAGCAGGGACUUCGGUCUGGUGGCGAGUGGCGAACGGGUGAGUAAUGUAUCGGAACGUCCCUAGUAGCGGGGGAUAACGACGCGAAAAGCGUAGCUAAUACCGCAUACGCCCUACGGGGGAAAGCAGGGGAUCCAAGACCUUGCACUAUUAGAGCCGGCCGAUAAUAUCGGAUUAGCUAGUUGGUGGGGGUAACGGCUCACCAAGGCGACGUCCGUAGCUGGUUUGAGAGGACGACCAGCCACACUGGGGACUGAGACACGGCCCAGACUCCUACGGGAGGCACCAGUGGGGAAUUUUGGACAAUGGGGGAAACCCUGAUCCAGCCAUCCCCGCGUGUGAUGAAGGCCUUCGGGUUGUAAAGCACUUUUGGCAGGAAAGAAACGUCAUGGGCUAAUACCCCGUGAAACUGACGGUACCUGCAGAAUAAGCACCGGCUAACUACGUGCCAGCAGCCGCGGUAAUACGUAGGGUGCAAGCGUUAAUCGGAAUUACUGGGGCGUAAAGCGUGCGCAGGCGGUUCGGAAAGAAAGAUGUGAAAUCCCAGAGCUUAACUUUGGAACUGCAUUUUAACUACCCAGCUAGAGUGUGUCAGAGGGAGGUGGAAUUCCGCGUGUAGCAGUGAAAUGCGUAGAUAUGCGGAGGAACACCGAUGGCGAAGGCAGCCUCCUGGGAUCCCACUGACGCUCAUGCACGAAAGCGUGGGGAGCAAACAGGAUUAGAUACCCUGUAGUCCACGCCCUAAACGAUGUCAACUAGCUGUUGGGGCCUUCGGGCCUUGGUAGCGCACUAACGCGUGAAGUUGACCGCCUGGGGAGUACGCCGGUCGCAACGAUUAAAACUCAAAGGAAUUGAUCGGGGAGCCCGCACAACGCGGUGGAUGAGUGUGGAUUAAUUCGAUGCAACCGCGAAAAAGCCUUAUCCUACCCUUGAUCAUGUUCUGGAAUUCCGAAGCAGAAUUUGGAAUGUGGCUGCGCAUAC